CUCCCAUCCAGCCGGUUUGUCCCAGAGGUGGUGGUAGGGAAGUUCCAGGACAUUCCUGUUUCCUCCGCUGCCUUCUCUCUUAGCUGAGCCCUUUCUCACCUUUCCUCCCAGACCCUGUUCCCUCCCCUUACUUGCGGGGCAUCCUCGGGGACAGGUUCUGAAACCACAGCUGUGGGCCAGCGUUCCACCUAUUGUCUGCGAGCCAGCAGAGCAGAACAAACCUGCCUGAGAUUCUCAUUACAGCUUGUGAUUUGGGAGACGGGCCAGCUGCGGCUGUUGCCAGGGCAACCAGUGGUGCGGAAAAAGGCCGAGAACACCCUGUACCACUCACUCUGGUGGAGCAGCUGCCUAUUGUCCUGAACCUCCUGUAAGAUGACCUCGUAGCAGGCCCAGGCACUGCAGGAAGUUGCUGGGUGCGUGGAGGUGGAUGCUGUUCUCAGAUGUCACACACACAGAGCCAGCAUCUCACGCCAGUGACAGAGCCGCUGAGGUGUGAUGAAGGCCGGAUUUGCAACUUAAUGGGCCCUGACCUAGGAACCCAGUUUGGCUGCUAGAGGUUUCUGGUCCUCAAAUAACAAUAACCACCUCCUGGGGCUAUCAUGAGAAUUUUAUGAGAUAAUGCAUCAAAAACUCUUAGCAGAGACCUUGACUCAUGGCGAGUUCUCAGUAAGUUGUGAGACUAUGCACCAACUUCCUUUACGGGAUGAAUACGGAACACUGGUUGAUUUGCUCACGUUUCCAACCUGGGACACUCGAUGCCACUGACUUAUAUAUCUGCAUAGCCCGCCAGCCUGCGAGUCCUUCCAGCUCUGCUUGCUAAAUUGUCACAUCUGCCCUAGAAGAUGUCAGUCACCCAGUGGAAAUGUCUCCAGGGAAGUGGAUAUUCCUGCUAGAAGUGGACUGGGUGGGAGUUGGGAGUCUCAGUGUAUUCUCUGGCUGCUCUCGUCACUUGCCCGCUGCAUGAUUUCUCUUUGCUUAAUGUUUAAUUUCUCUCAGGGGCCUGGAUGAGCUGGGUUAAAUAACUCUGGUGAGGGAGCCUGGAGGAUCACUGGGGAAAGUCAUCGUCUUUGUCCUCAGCAGUGUAUUUAAUCCUCUGAACUUUAGGUUUCCCUCUCUUCCCUCCCUCCCUCCCUCCCUCCCUCCCUCCCUCCCUUCCUUCCUUCCUUCCUUCUUUCUUUCCUUCCUUCCUUCCUUCUUUCCUUGACAAGGUCUCAUUCUGUCACCCAGGCUGGAGUGCAGUGGCAUGAUCUCAGCUCACUGCAGCCUUGACCUCCUGGGCUUAAGCGAUCCUCCCACCUCAGCCUCCUGAGUAGCUGGGACUACCUGUGCACACCACCAUGCCUGGCUAAUUUUUGUAUUUGUUGUAGAGUCAGGGUCUCACUAUGUUGGCCAGGUUGGUCUUGAAUUCUUGGGCUCAAGUGAUCCUCCCACCUCGGCCUCCCAAAGUGCUGGGACUACAGGCAUGAGCCACCACACCCAGCCAACUUUAAGUUCUUUAUGCUGUCAUGCAGGCCUGCAUGGCCCAAUGGAUCAGCUCCAGACUUUGUGGCCAUAAAAAGCCGCGUGAGCAAGUGCAUCACAAGCACAUGCCAAGGAGAGGCAGAAGGAAGCAUUUUGGUGCUUGUCUGGAGAAGGCUGAAUGGAACUGGGGAGGAGGUUUUUGGAUCUGUGUGAGCCCAUCCCAGUGAAGAAGCAAAGAGCCACUCUUUCUAGUGCUGGGCGUGUAGAGCUUGGGGCUUUGCAAUCCGAAUGGGUUUGAGAAGUGGGCAGGCCUACAGCUGUUGGCCGAGUGCUCAGAGGCUGCAGACAUGCUUGUUCUUGUAUGUGAGAUGUGGCAAUGACAAGAAGAGAGAGGUUAGGAGGCUGAUGCGGCUCCUCCAAGCCUAGGGAUGGACUCUUGGGGUUCUGCCUCCUGGAGGGGCAGGAGUGACCCAGACCCUUCUGCAACAGCUCCAGCUCCUGGAGGAUGGGGCGCCAGCUGCCCUGAGUGGUGCUGGCCACUGUGCCACCUGGCUGUCGCCCUCUAAGAAGGUCCUGCUGUCAUGCCUUCCUCCUGACUGCUGACAAAUAUUCUCGGGGGAAGAAGCUGGUACGGAGCCUACUGGUUGUGCUCUGAGAAACCUCUUCCAUGGCUAAAACCAAAUUUCAGGAUAGAUAAGAGCAGCUCCUCAGAAGAGAAAGUUGGGAAUCUCUGACCUGGAUCAGGAGCAAACACAUCCAAGCCCCUAAUGGUGCAUAAGCGCGGUGUUAAACGGCUCUGUUCCCGGCCAGCCCGGACCAAACCUACAGCCCAAAGGGGGAAGAAAACCCAUCAACGAAAUCACUUUUAAGAUCCAUGGUUGUCCCCCAUUCGAUAACCAUGAAUCGACUGUCCAGGCUGCAUUUAUCCAGCUGCAAGAAUUCUAAAGAGAAUGAGUUGCCCACUGAUGCCCCUGGGCUGGGCCCAAGGUGUGGGGCCAGGUGUGAGGAGCUGUACCGGCCCCAGGAGGCGCCCAUGUGGAGAAUCUCUGUCCUUUGCACCUGGACCUGUGGGCUUUGAGAGCUCGGGCCCCAAUUAUGGCCAGAGCUAGGGUUGGUCUUCCUCUGCCCUGCAAAUCCCAGAUGUAGUAAGCAUUCAGUACAUUGUGUUAAUAAAUAUCCAUAAACUUG
rnacentral:lncRNA from 1 species